UCCCUGGUAGCUCAGUUGAUAAAGAAUCUGCCUGCAAUGCAGGAGACCCAGGUUCGAUCCCUGGGUGGGGAA
rnacentral:tRNA from 1 species